UGAAGAUCACCGAACGCGUAGUUUUUCGAAUCACCCGUGAAUUAUGUGGUACUCUACGCCCCGCUGCUACGGAAUCGUUCGGGGAACAUCGGAGGAUCAGAGCCACUUGUCCUCCAGAAAAAUAUGGUCCAAGGUUUCAGUAUUAUUGCCAUGGAAUCCACCGAAUCGAUUGCGGUUAUCUCGUUAUGACGGCAAUAUUUAACCAAAUUGGAGUCAAUUUUGCCGAACAGAUAUUAUCCCAGAAAUCCCAACCACCGUUAAUAACGUGUAUGCAGAUGGUCCUUAGGGAGAACACAAAUAUUGACGGAAUUGUCAGGAGACCACUUUAUAGUCAUCAGUAAAAGGUUCCAGUGGUCCGAAAUCAAAAACUGAAAACAAAUAAGGAGCAUCUAAAUAUGUGUUCUGGAACUAUAUUCGAAACGUCAGGAAACGAAACGUGGAUUGCACAUUGUGGACAUCGAAUAGUUUUACCACUGAGCCAACGAAAAAGGUAUAUCAUAGACUUAAGAAGAAAUGUAGCUUGCGACUACAUAUGUAAAGCAAAAGUUGUUCAGCUUUGUCAAACUCAAUUGCGUCGGAUACACAAUUGAGGCGCUUAGGAUGAAAGGAAUGUCAGGGUCCAGAUGAUAGUUUACAGAAUACACGCCUUAGAGUUAUUGUUAAGGUGCUCGAUUCGAAUUCGAGUAGUUCGAAUUCAAUCAAAACUUUGAUAAAUAUUAUAACAAAAUAUGAAUUUUACCACAGAUGUAGUUUGAAAUUUGAAAAAUCGUUCGGAAUACUCGCACCUCAUUAAGAAAUUGGAUGAAAGAAAUGAAUUUAUCACUAAAUUUGAUUAGAUUGCAUUAGAUAAUGUUAGGAAUGAUGUUGACGACGUUUAGGAUCAGCAAGCGAUGUAGGUGCUCGAUUUUUUAUAUAAUUUUCGGAUUCGAGCAGUUUUCAUGCAAUCGAAAAAAUGUGGUUCAAUUUUUGAGUUUUGCACUAGAUGUAGAUUGAGACAUGCAAAAAGAAUGGUUUAGGAAAUCAACUCAAAGCUGAUACUUUUACAACGUAUUCCUCUGACUUUACUCAAAGUGUUUUAUAGGCAAAGCUGAUAAUGUGGAUCUCAAGUAGACAGAAUUCAAAUUGUUAAUUGAAUUACUAAAACAGCAUUGUGAAGUAUGU